rnacentral:rRNA from 1 species
AAAUUGAAGAGUUUGAUCAUGGCUCAGAUUGAACGCUGGCGGCAGGCCUAACACAUGCAAGUCGAACGGUAACAGGAAGCAGCUUGCUGCUUCGCUGACGAGUGGCGGACGGGUGAGUAAUGUCUGGGAAACUGCCUGAUGGAGGGGGAUAACUACUGGAAACGGUGGCUAAUACCGCAUAACGUCGCAAGACCAAAGAGGGGGACCUUCGGGCCUCUUGCCAUCAGAUGUGCCCAGAUGGGAUUAGCUUGUUGGUGAGGUAACGGCUCACCAAGGCGACGAUCCCUAGCUGGUCUGAGAGGAUGACCAGCCACACUGGAACUGAGACACGGUCCAGACUCCUACGGGAGGCAGCAGUGGGGAAUAUUGCACAAUGGGCGCAAGCCUGAUGCAGCCAUGCCGCGUGUAUGAAGAAGGCCUUCGGGUUGUAAAGUACUUUCAGCGGGGAGGAAGGUGUUGUGGUUAAUAACCGCAGCAAUUGACGUUACCCGCAGAAGAAGCACCGGCUAACUCCGUGCCAGCAGCCGCGGUAAUACGGAGGGUGCAAGCGUUAAUCGGAAUUACUGGGCGUAAAGCGCACGCAGGCGGUCUGUCAAGUCGGAUGUGAAAUCCCCGGGCUCAACCUGGGAACUGCAUUCGAAACUGGCAGGCUUGAGUCUUGUAGAGGGGGGUAGAAUUCCAGGUGUAGCGGUGAAAUGCGUAGAGAUCUGGAGGAAUACCGGUGGCGAAGGCGGCCCCCUGGACAAAGACUGACGCUCAGGUGCGAAAGCGUGGGGAGCAAACAGGAUUAGAUACCCUGGUAGUCCACGCCGUAAACGAUGUCUACUUGGAGGUUGUGCCCUUGAGGCGUGGCUUCCGGAGCUAACGCGUUAAGUAGACCGCCUGGGGAGUACGGCCGCAAGGUUAAAACUCAAAUGAAUUGACGGGGGCCCGCACAAGCGGUGGAGCAUGUGGUUUAAUUCGAUGCAACGCGAAGAACCUUACCUGGUCUUGACAUCCACAGAAGAAUCCAGAGAUGGAUUGGUGCCUUCGGGAACUGUGAGACAGGUGCUGCAUGGCUGUCGUCAGCUCGUGUUGUGAAAUGUUGGGUUAAGUCCCGCAACGAGCGCAACCCUUAUCCUUUGUUGCC